CGAUCAAGAUGGACAAUACAUUCUAGAUUGAAUAAAUGUAUCCUGCGAAGAUUGCAAAUUCGCGGCACCGAAAACUCCAGUUCAGGAUUGGCUCAAAAACGUAAAUCAAAGGAAUAUGACUGCGAAAUUGAGGAGUGCCAUUGUUUCGUGCGAGCUAUCAAGAAUUAAAAGGAGCAAGAGAGUUUUGUAUUGUGCAACGCCAAAGCAUCGUAGAGUGAGUAAUUGAAACAAUAAAAGUAAAAAUAUUUUGUAUAUUAUGGUGAUGGUCUUUUUGCAAUAAUCAGUGUGAUUUACAGUAGUAUAGUACAUAGCUUUAGUAUAAUACAUAAAAGUAGAUACUUUUCUACGUAGUUUUGUGCAUGAAUUAUUGAUUAAAGAAUUAUAUAAAUUAUAACUUAUUCGUCUUUAAGUCUAUCUUAUAAAUUACAUGUUUUCUUAAUUCUUCUAAAAAGAUUCUUCGGUUAUUUAAUUAAGUAUUAUAUCUUUAAAAUAUAUGUAUAUAUUAUUGAUUUAUAUCAUCUUAUUGAAUAAUUUUAUCUUUUUGGAUAUGCAUGGUUUUUAAUUCAAAUACCAUCGAAAAGGAUGAUAUUUCAAAUUCGCGAGGCAAAAUCGCGAGCUAAUUUGCUGUCAUAUAGAUUUCACGAAUAUUUGCUCGCGUUGUGAUGCAAUUAUAUUUUGUUUCUCAUUAAUUAUAUAUACAUAUUUGCGAUUAGA